ACUUCGCUCAGAAUCAACGCUGGCGGCGUGCCUAACACAUGCAAGUCGAACGAGAAAGGGACUUCGGUCCUGAGUAAAGUGGCGCACGGGUGAGUAACACGUGACUAACCUACCCUUGAGUGGGGAAUAACUAGGAGAAAUCUUAGCUAAUACCGCAUAAUACCUACGGGUCAAAGGAGCAAUUCGCUUAAGGAGGGGGUCGCGGCAGAUUAGUUAGUUGGCGGGGUAAUGGCCCACCAAGACAGUGAUCUGUAUCCGGCCUGAGAGGGCGCACGGACACACUGGAACUGAAACACGGUCCAGACUCCUACGGGAGGCAGCAGUGGGGAAUUUUGCGCAAUGGGGGAAACCCUGACGCAGCAACGCCGCGUGGAGGAUGAAGUCCCUUGGGACGUAAACUCCUUUCGAUCGGGACGAUAAUGACGGUACCGAGAGAAGAAGCCCCGGCUAACUUCGUGCCAGCAGCCGCGGUAAUACGAGGGGGGCGAGCGUUGUUCGGAAUUAUUGGGCGUAAAGGGUGCGUAGGCGGUUCGGUAAGUCUUGUGUGAAAUCUUCGGGCUCAACUCGAAGUCUGCACCAGAAACUGCCGGGCUUGAGUAUGGGAGAGGUGAGUGGAAUUUCCGGUGUAGCGGUGAAAUGCGUAGAUAUCGGAAGGAACACCUGUGGCGAAAGCGGCUCACUGGACCAUAACUGACGCUGAUGCACGAAAGCUAGGGGAGCAAACAGGAUUAGAUACCCUGGUAGUCCUAGCCCUAAACGAUGAUCGCUUGGUGUGACGGGUACCCAAUCCCGCCGUGCCGAAGCUAACGCGUAAGCGAUCCGCCUA
rnacentral:rRNA from 1 species